GAGAGUUUAGUUUAAAUAAAACAUUAAUUUGUCAAAUUAAAAUUAUUCCAUUAAAAUAUCUCUUU
rnacentral:tRNA from 1 species